UACGUAGGGUGCGAGCGUUGCCCGGAUUUAUUGGGCGUAAAGGGCGCGUAGGCGGCUCGGCAAGUCAGGAGUGAAAGGCCUGGGCUCAACCGAGGAACUGCUUUUGAUACUGCCAAGCUAGAGUGCGGAAGGGGCAACUGGAAUUCCCAGUGUAGCGGUGAAAUGCGUAGAUAUUGGGAAGAACACCUGAGGCGAAGGCGGGUUGCUGGGCUGAUACUGACGCUGAGGCGCGAAAGCCAGGGGAGCGAACGGG
rnacentral:rRNA from 1 species